rnacentral:ncRNA from 1 species
AAACAGAUAGGUUUGGUCCUGGUCUUUACACAUGCAAGCAUCCCCACCCCAGUGAAAAAUGCCCUCUACAUCACCCGGAUCAAAAGGAGCAAGUAUCAAGCAUGCACAAAUGCAGCUCAAAAUACUUUGCUCAACCACAUCCCCAUGGGAAACAGCAGUGAUAAAUAUUUAGUAAUAAACGAACGUUUAAGCUUUACUGAUACAUAGGGUUGGUCAAUUUCGUGCCAGCCACCGCGGCCAUACAAUUAACCCAAGCUAAUAGAACUUGGCGUAAAGAGUGUUUAAGAUCUGCCCUCAAUAAAGCUAAACUCCAUUUAAGUUGUAAAAAACUUAGGCUGAAAUAAAACAUACUACGAAUGUGGCUUUAAUAUCCUGAAGACACGACAGCUAAGAUCCAAACUGGGAUUAGAUACCCCACUAUGCUUAGCCCUAAACUAUAAUAGUUAUAUUAACAAAAGCAUUCACCAGAAUACUAGAAGCAAUAGCUUAAAACUCAAAGGACUUGGCGGUACUUUAUAUCCCUCUAGGGGAGCCUGUUCUAUAACCUAUAAACCCCGAUCUACCUCACCACCUCUUGCCCCCAGCCUAUAUACUGCCAUCUUCAGCAAACCCUAAAAAGGUUAUAGAGUAAGCACAAGUAAUACACAUAAAAACGUUAGGUCAAGGUGUAGCUCAUGAGGUGGGAAGAAAUGCGCUACAUUUUCUAUACCCAGAAAAUCUCACGACAACCUUUAUGAAAUCUAAAGACUCAAGGAGGAUUUAGCAGUAAACCAAGAGUAGAGUGCUUGGUUGAAUAAGGCCAUGAAGCACACACACACUGCCUGUCACCUUUUCAAAUACUAUUCUAGAAAUCCAUGUUACUAAAAUCUCUCUACACACUUAUAGAGGAGAUAAGUUGUAACAUGGUAAGCAUACUGGAAAGUGCAUUUGGACAAACCAAAGU